rnacentral:lncRNA from 1 species
AGACAACUUCCCCAGGCAACAAAUCUGUGCCCUGCAGUGUUCAAGGCUCUGGGUGUAGCAGUGAGUGAAGUAGCCCCUGCCCUGAAGGAGCAGGCAUCCAAGUGGUGAAGAGGAAGGCAGAUGAUGGUUCCAUAAACCAGGCAGGAGAGCCAUGGAGGUAGGAAGGGUGCGGUGGGGGAAGAGUAGAGAGCCUCUCUACCUAGGGGCCAGGAAAACCCCACCACCUAUAAGGCAACUGCUAACCCUUAGCCAGUUGGCAUCUGGAAGAAAGCUUGCCGAGCAGAGGGUUUGAGAAGAGAACAAAGAGGGCAGCGCUACAGACACGGACUUGGAAAGACUGACGUUGACAGAUCUGACAGAGGCCAUGGGCUCCACGGUUUGCCAGCGUGUGCCUGAAGGUAAUGGUUAGGGAAGAGCCCUAGACGUCUCUGGGGCGUGGGGAGCAAUCCGAGACGAAGCCCCACUAUGCGCAUGAGCUGUCCACUCCCUGCUUGGCUCCCAUCCUCCUACACCCUUUUUACAUCUCAUCAUCUUCAACAGAACCCAGCCCCUCCCCAUGCUCUGCCUGGAGCCAAGCUAACGACUGCUGCUCACGGGACAGUGUCUAGACCUAUUGUUUCAUCGCACUGACACGGAGAGUAUCUGUUGCUCAGGUUAUCAAAAUGACCUUCCCUCUUGGCCUCCUCUGUUUGCAGAGACUGUGGCGCUAGUGGGAACAAGGUGGCCAGGGCUGAGUGGAGGUUUGAGAGGCAAGCCAGGGUCGCCACCUGCUGGUUGGAUGUGGCAAUGGCUGCCAGCAACAAGAGCUGGCUGUACACUGAUUGUCUGGGUUUGUUAGGGGUCCUCCUGGUACCAGUGGAAGGGGGUAAAUGGUUUUUAUCUGUAUAUUUCCUCCACUUCUAGCAAGUAGCCUCCCAUUUCUCUACAGUCAUCCCUCUGACUCCCUAAGGGAGAGACUAUUUUUGCUGGUUCUGGAACUUCAAACAUGGAGAAUCUCGUGUUGUAUGUCUUUCAUAUCCAGUAUGGUGUUUCUGCUCACAGUUUCUGUCUCUACCUUUUAGUGGAGUUUAUCAACAAUUUUAUUUCUUGUGAUAUUAGGAAUACAACACAGAUGUGUACUUUGUUACCUGUUGGAAAACACUGGGGUGGACUGAGUGUGGGAAUAUAACAAGAUCGACACAUUGUGGCCAUUUCUGUAACAGUCAUUUUUUUUAAAUUAAAUUUACUCACUUUGCAUC